rnacentral:ncRNA from 1 species
GGCCAGAUAAGGCGUUCAAGCCGCAUCUGGCAUUUUGCUCUCAAUGCCUGAUGCGACGCUGGCGCGUCUUAUCAGGCC